GAACGUGAAAACCGCCAACGGUUGCUGCUUGCCUUGAGAUGCGCGGCAUGAGUAAGGGUCCCGGAGGAUAGCGUCUGAGUGAUUCCUUGAGGACAAUCUGGAGGUACUCGAGCUUUUGGAGGUCCGACUCUUGAGUGCUGCCCACAACUCUGUCGAGCUCCUCGUGGAGCUUGGCCAUGACUCGAGGAUUGUGCAUCACUGCAACCAUGAGCCACUCGCUCGCGGUGGUGGUGGUAUCAGUACUGGCAAUCAACAUCUCCUGGGCAUUUGUAGCAUAAGAAAUACCUGUUCAGCAAUCAAGGAGAAGUUUUGCAAAGCUUACCAUGAGAUUCGCCUUUACGUCUCCCUGCUCCAAAGAAGUCGAGCAUAAUAUCGAGGAAGUCCUUGCAUUCCCGUGUCGUCUCCUUGUGCUCCUCAACAAUCUUUUGCAAGAACUCGUCUUGCUUGGCAUGGAUUCGCUUGUAGCGAGGAAUCUGCCAGUCCAGCCAUCGCAAGUACCAGGGCACCAAGUUGCUAACACAGGGAUUGAUCCCCAGCUCAAGAACAUUGUCGUUGAGCUUCUUGAAUUCCAUGGCAUGGGCAUCUACGUUUUCAUCACCAAAGUACCUCUUGCUCAUCAAAAUUCGUGAUGUGACGUUGAAGGAGAAAACACUGGCCACGUUUCUCACCUCCACAGGUUUGCCAUCGCCAUGGGCCUUCAAAAUCCCCUCCAACGCACGAGAAAGCUCAUCCCUUCUGACCCAAGAGAAGGAGUCGAUACACUUGGCUGUGAAGAGCUCCAUUGUACACAGCUUGCGGGUGUUUCGCCAUAGCUCGCCAUAGGGACUGGUUGCAAUUCCAGAAAAGUUAUAGCUGAAGUGGUCGCCUGGAAGCAAAAUUUAAAUCAUGUGUGGUGAAGACCUCUUUGGCAAGCUCCUGGCUGGAGAUCACCACAGUUGGGAUCAUUCCCAGCCUCAAGGAAGUAAUAGGGCCAUACUUCUUGGCUAUGUGUUGCAAUGCUCUGUGCGGGGGCAUUCUUACUAGCAAGAGUAGGCAAUCAGGGGCAAUCCCCAUGGACCUGGUGGCAGAUUAGAGCGAGCUUUCAAGAAGCACAAGACCAACAGAGCAAUGAAAAUUGUGGAGCUCACAGCAAGUGCUAGAUCCAUUUCUGUGGUUCUUGUGUCAAUAUUUCCCUGACUUUUAAAGCCUUGUAAAGUACUUAGAAGCCUUGGAAUGGUCAGUAGCUGUAGCUUUUUCCAGAAGACUAAAAAGUGACCAAAGUGUAAGUGUAAGUUUUGGUCAAAUUUGUAGAAUGACUUUGGAUAUAUCUAGAAUAUGUAUGUGUAAGGUUUGUAAAUAGAUAUAUAUAUAUAUAUAUAUAUAUAUAUAUAUAUAUAUGUAUUACCUUGGCUAGGUAAUGUAUUUAUAAAUUAUCCAUUUGAAACUGAAUUUGGUCCAUCCAUUUGCAAGGGUCUAAACCCUAAUUAUUUCUAUAUCCUAAACAUUCACAUUAAUAGAGAUGAAGGGCAUUGCAAUUUGUUUCUAAAGGGCAAUGCUUUACUCUAAUAUUUGGGAUCAUGUUUUUGUUCUUAUUUCUUCAUUUUCUUUUUUUAUAUUAGCUUUUUUGCAAGAUCUAGAAUUUUAGUUAUCACUAUGCUCAAAUCUACUUCUUCUUUCAUUCUUUUCUUUUACAUAUCAUGCCAUUAUUGAUCAAAGAGUAUGUCAUUUGAGGUUACUAAUGCUAUUUUGUUAAAUUGAAAUUUUAGUGCUAUAUAGUGUGAUCAUAUUAGUGUUACACCCAUCCUUGGUGUGUUGCUAACAGUUUUCAACUUCCAUAAAAUUACAUAGUUUGUUUUGUUCUUGGUGUUUUACCAUUUCCCAUUGAUGUGGAGUGUGAUUGUGAUAUUGAUUGGUGAGUUAUAGAUGAUGCAGUCUGGUUCUUGAAGAAUAUUUGAGGAUCAAGUUUAUAUGUUUACAAGCUUAAAUGGAUUCUAGGUUAUGAUGAAGCACUUGAUUAUUAUGGAGAUAGCUUUAAAGAUGAAUUGGAGAUUUUAUAGGGUAGGUGUCAAUCUUUUAAUACCAUUUGAUCCUUUUUUUUUUACUUUCUGCUCUUUUUUAACCUUCUUUUAUUUAUCAGUUUGAGCCACCUUUUCAUAUUUUUACUGUUCCUUUUUUGUCUGGAAUAUUUCCUUUUCCUAACACAUUGAUCAUUGAUAACUUUUAUAAUUCUCAUUCUCAAUCCAAUGUUGAGUUAAAUGUUUUCUAUCUUCCGCAUACUAAUCUGGAUCUUGAGUGUAUGCAGGAAGUUGAGAAUCUUAUUUUUGUUUCUUUGGCAGAGUCUUUGAUCAAUUUUGAUAUUGAAUAUUCCUAUAUUCCAAAGGUUUAGUCACUUUGGCUAGAAUUUUAGGUUGUGUUCCCACUUGUUAAUGCUCUUAAGAGCCUUUACUUUACUGUUACUACUAAGGAGUUUAUAUAUUCCCUUGAGAGUGUGGAUGUUAUUAUUGAUUUUCUUGUCUUAAGUGGAAUUAUAUGUUGAGGAGGUUUAGCAAUAUAAAUCUUUUGCUUAUAUUGUGGUGGCCAAAGUAUUUUAUAAUGAAAAGUCUUUUAUUUUCCAAGCUUUGAUCAUAUUUCCUUCUUUUAAUUUCUUUAUUUCUGCAUUUCCCACUGUUAUAAAUUUUUUUCCAAUGCUUCUUUAUUCACUUUUUCUUCUUCUAUAAUGGUUUUUUCUCAAUUUUUUCACUUUUUCCUUUUUGCCUCGACACUUUAAACUUUUUUUUUCUUUAGACAAUAUGGAUUGUGGAGUGAAGAUAAGUAUAACAAGUUCGAAUGGAACAUUUAACCUUAACGUAAUGAGGUUGAAUAAAUAUGAUAGUGGAGUGAGGCCAAAUAUAGAUGGCAGAGUGAGGACAAGAGUAGCAAAUCCAAAUGAGGCUAGUGCUUUAUAACUUUUUUUUCUUUUGAGGUGGGAUAAAGAGGAUAUGGAAGACAAAUGGAGUGAGUCAGACCUCCCAUGUGCAAUGUUAAACAAAGAUGAAGAUCAUAAAUCUAAGUUAACACAAGUCUUGAAUUAAUGUUCAAGUUCCGGGAAGAUAACCACACCUAAGAAGAUGCAAAGGUAAGUUUUACUUAUGGUUAUAAGUCCGAGUUAAUAGUUAUUUCAAAGGAUUAUUGGCGAACAAACGUGAAGGUAAGAUGUAUUAUUUGUGUUAAUGGCAUUUUAUGGACUACAAUAGUUUUUGAAGUCCCUUGUUUUGGUUCAAAGUUAUAGCUUCAUAGUUGGUUUGAGCAUUUGGCAAUUGUAUAUAGAGUUGCAAUUGGUACAUUAGAAUUUCAUAGUUGAUUAAUAUUUAUGCUAUGGCUUUGGGUUUUGUUUCAAUUAUAGUUAUCAACAACUUUAUUGGUGGUUUUGUGGGAGCUUCAAAAUUUUGUGGUAGUUUUUAAUUGCCCAACAGAAGCUCUAAAUGUUCCAUCUGACUUAUUGUUAUCUUCUAGAGGGGAAGAUGGUGUAAGAUUUAUAAAUACAUAUGUGUAUAUACAUAUAUUACCUUAGCUAGAUAAUAAACUAAUUAUAGUAAUAUAGUAUAUGAAUCAUCUAUUUGGGACUAAAUUUGGUCUAUCCAUUAUUUUUUAUAUAAACAGGGGUCUAAACCCCAAUUAAUAUACCUAUUCUCAUAUCCUGAGCAAUCAUACAUGGAUAUUUUAGGAUAUUUUAUUAUCUACUGGUUAUUAUUUAUUUAGAUUAAUUUAUAUUUAUAAUUUAUAAAUAUAUUUAUAUGAGUGCAUUUGGCAAGUAGGGAGUGUGAUGUUGUAGGUAAAAAAAGUAGAGCUACAAGCCAAAGCCAUAGCUAAAGCCCAAUUUGAGCUUGCCCCACAUAUAGUAUACUACAUGUAAAGCACUCACUCCCUUGGAUUUAAAUCUGGACUUAGACUCCACCUAUUGAAUAUAGAAUUGGAAUAUAGAAAUGUAUAUAUGAAUUAGCCUAAAAAAUUUAGCUUAUAUAUAGAAGCGAGUCAUUUGGAUUGAACUCAAUCCAAUAGCUAUUAAAAUCCUAUUACACUAAUAUUAGUAUAUGACAUCGUAGCUAUACACGUGUGAGACACAAAUCCCAAAGCCCCAAAGUGGAGUCGAAAGGGUGCCACAUAAUAGUGGCCAAAGCAAAAGCCAAACGAGCAUAACACAUUUGGACUAAAAGCUCUAAUUUGAAAAGUCAAGAGUGGGAGUGGAACUCCCAAUGAGGAUCCGAGAUGGAAUCUGAGAUGGAGUCCGAGGUGGACCCAAGAUGGAUUCGAGAUGGAGCCUGAGAUAAAGUCUAAAAUGGACCUAAGAUGAAGUCCGAGAUGGAGUCUGAGAUGGAACUGAGAUCAAGACCGAGACCAAGUCCGAGUCCAAAAUCGAGUAUGAGUCUGAAUACUAAUAUAGACUGUUGGGUGAAAGCCCAAAGCAAUCAUCCCCCAGAGGGGCAAGAUGGGUGGGGCUGUAGGGGGUUCCAAAAGUAUAGUAGUGAGAGUGUGGGGGUUGGACCCCAGUGAAGCCAGUUUGGCCCAGGAAUGCCAUACCUAGAUGUUAGGUGAUGAGAUGACCACUAGGAAGUCUAAAGCUAGAGUGAAUACAGACUAACAAAUAGGAUAACUUGGUGAAGUGUUCAAAUAGUUCCCUUGAGAGAUCAAAUGAUCAAUGCUCCCAGUCCAAGUGUGGGUGGCACUACCUACUUGGAUAUCUAGUGUGGCUCAACAGAACCUUGCUCUAAUCCCAUAGUUAGAGCACCCAAAGGUGGAAGGCAGGGAAAGUACCCAUGAGGCCUGCAUAAGGCCAUGGUGUUCCGAAAUGUUAUCCCAAAGUCCUAGAUUGUGGAAAGGAAGAAGAGUAGUCUUCUGGUGUGGUGAUAAAAAUACAGUCACACAAUGAGGAUAGUGGGACUUAAUGGUCAAGCCCGUGGGCCUUGAUCCAGAGGCAAUGUUAGCGAACAUGGCCAUAGACAGAAAGAGACUUGGUAGGGACUGUAAAAGGGAUAUUGGGGAAGGUUGUACCCCAUGUCUGCGGGCAUCUUAAGGAUGCUAAGGAGUGAAUUUGGGAUGAUCACUCAUGGAUGGAUGGCCCAGUCUUUGAGAGACGGGACUGUGAUGCAGGUGGUGUUAGACUGCUGGUGUGACCAAGGUAAAUGGGCAUGGCCUUAGCAUAACAGGCUCAUAUGUCAAUGGUACCUUGGGGUGUCAACCAUGGGAUUGGACACGUGGAGCACUUGGACCAAGUGUGAAGGUUGAGUGGCGUGGAUACCAUGCUCAGGGAUAGCAAGCCCUAAGUCCGGAAAAGGAUUUGUGGAGGUUGUGAGUGAGACUCUUUCAAGUGGUCGAAGGUGUGGUUAAGUAACUAAAGUAGAAUGGAAAAUUUAAUCACUUACAAUUUGGUAUUGGAGUUGUUCUUUAGUUUGACUUUUAUUUGUGCUCAAGUAUAUCACCACUAGUGUUGGUAUUGAAAGGUCCUAGGAGUGGGCCUAUCCUUGAGGAGUAGCAAGUCAGGGAGACAUAACUCUCCACUGUAGUUCAUGUAUGAACUUGUAAGCGAGGUGGUAGAUAGAAAAGGGCCAAUAAUGGAACGGCUUUAGGAUCUUGGGAACAGUUUAAAGUUUUCCUCAGAGUGUUGAGGAUGUGAUCUAGAUGAGCGUUUAACUUAGCAAACUGGCUAAUGUAGUUCUAGUAAACAAUUAUAGUUGGGAUCACGGGAAAUAUAAAGACUCCAAAAUAAUAAAGGAGUCAUAAAAUUAUCCUCAUAUAGUUAAGGCUGGUGCUCAUGAAUUUGAGACCGAAAUUAAUGACCAUGAGAGGUCAAAUAUAGAUAAGGAUACGAGUCCUUGAAAUAGUAGCUGGGGCUACCUUUUAUAAAUGAUUGAACAAACCCAAGGAGUUGGGGGGUGUGCUGAGAGGAUGAGUCGGUAUUCUCAUCAUAUGGACUGAUAGUCCUAAGGGGCAAAGGUAACCCAUAGGGAACGGAAAAUAAUCAAGUGUUAAAGUAACAUUUGGAAAGAUGGUCUUUAUGAGUAGGAUAUGAAUACACGAAGUUGUAUUCUAGCGAGUUGGCACCUCAAAAAUAAAACUUUUCAUGUAAUUGGAUUAGCAAAGUCCAAAAAUGCUGGAUGACUUAAGUAGAGUCAAGGAAUAAUCCUAAAGGAUUGGUAAAAAGCAUUUGGACUAAAGUGUGUUGUGCCCCACAAAGGAUGAGGAGGAUUAUAUGAUCCAAGUAUGAGAAUAGUGGGUAUCUCAUUAAUGGCAAAAUGUGCCUAUGAGACACAAAUCCCUAAGCCCAAAGUGGAGCCGAAAGGGUGCCACGUGGUAGUGGCCGAAGUGAAAGCCAAAUGAGCGUAACACGUUUGAACUAAAAGCUCCGACUUGAAGAGUCGAGAGCAGGAGUGGAACUCCCAAUAGAGUGCUCAAGGAACAAGCAUGAAGUGAGCAAUAAGAGAGUCUCUAGAAAAGGGACACAAGAGGGCCCGAGAUGGACUAGAGAUGGACUCGAGAUGGAGUCUGCGAUGGACCUGAGAUGGACCCGAGAUGAACACAAGAUGGAGUCCAAGAUGGAGUCUAAGAUGGAUCCGAGAUGGAUCCAAGAUGGAUCCAAGAUGGAUCCGAGAUGGAGUCCGAGAUGGAGUUUGAGAUGGAGCCGAGAUGGAGUCCAAGAUGGAGUUUGAGAUGGACUAAGAUGGAGUCCAAGAUAGAGUCCAAGAUGGAGUCUGAGAUGGACCAAGAUGGAGUCCGAGAUAGAGUCCAAGAUGGACCGAGAUGGAGUCAAGAUAGACCGAGAUGGAGUCCGAGAUGAACCCAAGAUGGAAUCCGAGAUGGAGUCCGGGAAGGACCCAAGAUGGAGUUCGAGGUCGAGACUGAGACUGAGACCGAGACCGGGACCGGGACCAAGACAGAGAUCCAGACCAAGAUUGGGCUGAAGCCGAGACCGAGCCUGAGUCUGAGUCCGAGUCUGAGUGUGAGUUUGAGUCCAAGUUCAAGUCCUAGGGUGAAAGCCCAAAGCGUUCGUCUCCCAAACCCUAGGGGUUUUGGUGAGCUCCAAAAGUAUAGUAGGGGGAGGACACUAGUGGAGCCAGUUUGGCCAAGAAAGGCCAGUUUGGCCCAGGAAAGCUAUACCUAGGUGUUGAGUGAUGGGACAACCAUUGGGAAGUCCAAGGCUAAAGUGAAUAUGGACCGACAAAUAGGGUAGCUUGGUGAUUUGUUCAAAAGCCAAUUAUAGUUCCCACGGGAGAUUGAAUGGUUGAUGCUCCUAGUCCAAGUGUGGGUGGCACUACUUACUUGGAUACCUGGUGUGGCUCAAUGGAACCUCACUCUAAGCCCAUGGCUAGAGCACCAAAAGGCAGAAGGUGGGGAGAGUACCCAUGAGGCUUGUGUAGGGCCCUAGUGUUCCGAAAUGUUGUCCCAAAGUCCCAGACUAUGGAAAGGAAGGGGUUUGUCCUCUAGUGUAGUGACCAAGACUAUAGUCACAUGGUGUGGAAGUCCCAAAGGAUAGUGGGACUUAAUGGUCGGGUUUAUGAGCCUUGUCCUAAUGGCAGUGUCGGCAAAUACAACCAUGGACAAAAAGGGAUUUGGUGGGGAUUGGAAAAAGGACAUUGGGGAAGACUAUUCCCCAUGUCUGUGGGCAUCCUAAGGAUGCUUAUGAGUGGAUUUGGAAUGACCACUCAUGGAUGGAUGGCCCAGUCUGUGAAAGGCGAGAUUGUGAUGCAAGUGGCAUUGGACUAUCAGUGUGGCAAAGGUGAAUGGAUAUAGCCUUUGUGUAAUAGGCCAAUAUGUAGGUGGUACCUUUGAGUGUUGGUCAUGGGAUCAGACACGUGGAGCACUUGGACUGAGUGCAAUGGUUAAGUGGCAUGGAUGCCAUUCUUGGGGUUAGAAAGUCCCUAAGUCCAAAAUAGGACUUACGGAGGUUGUGAGUGAGACUCCUCCAUGCAGUUGGAGAUGUGGUUAAGUGAUUAAAGUAGAAUGGAAAAAUUAAUUGCUUACAAUUUGGUAUCAAAACUAUUCCUUAAUCCAACUUUUAUUGAUGCUCAAGUAUAUCACCACUAGUAUUGGCAUUAAAAGGUCCGAGGAGUGGGCCUAUCCUUAGGGAGUAGUAGGUCGGGAAGACAUAGCUCUCCACUACAGUUCAUGUGUGAACUUGUAGGUGAGGUGGUGGAUAGAAAAGGGCUAAUAAUAGAACGACUUUGGGAUCUUGGGAACAGUAUAAAAUUUUCCUCAGAGAGUUGAGAAUGUGAUCCAAAUAAGCAUUUGACUUAGCAAAAUGGCUAAUGUAGUUGUGAUAAACAACUAUAGUUGGGAUCACAGGAAAGAUAGGGACUCCAAAACAAUAAAGGAGUCACAAGAUUAUCCUCGUGUAGUUGAGGCUAGCACUUAUGAAUGUGAGACUAGAACUAAUGACCGUGAGAGGUCAAAUACGGAUGAGGACACAAGUCCUUCAAAUGGUAGUCGAGGCUACCUUUUAUAAAUGUUGAAACAAACCCAAGGAGUUGGGGGGUGUGCUUAGAGGAUGAGUUAGUAUUCUCAUCAUAUGGAUUGAUAGUCCUAAGGGGCAAAGGUAGCCCAUAGGGAACGGAAAAUAAUAAAAUGUUGGAGUAACACUUGUAAAGAUGGUUUUUGUGAGUAGGACAUGAAUACACAAAGUUGUAUUCCAAUGAGCUGGCACCUCAAAAAUAGAAUCUUAUGGGUCAUUGGAUUUGCAAAAUCCAAAAAUACUAGAUGACUCAAGUAGAGUCAGGGAAUGGUGCUAAGGGAUUAGUAAAAGCAUUUGGAUUGAGGUGUAUUGUGCCCCACGAAGGAUGAGGAGGAUCAUAAGAUCCAAGUAUGAGAAUAGUGGGUAUCUUAUUGAUGGCAGAUUGUGCCAUACUAAAGACGUAUGAAAGGUGUUCCCAAAGAAAACAACUUUGACACAAAGUGGCGUGUAAACUCUAUGGUGCAGUGGUAACGGAUUGUUGGCAUGAGAAGGAAUUGUAUUAGUCUUAGCAAAGACCUAGACACAAGAAAGAAGUAUUAUAAAGGUAGGCUCGUAGAGCUGACGAUGUGGAGAUAUUGAAUGUGCUAAGGCGUGAUGCCUUGAGGUCAAGUUGGCGGGUUCAUGAGAGCCCUUCCCAAAGGAAUCCUAAUGGAAAUAGGAAUGGCAUAGUUUAAGCUGGAAAGCAUGGGUGUGAUGACCUAAAUAAUGAUGGAGGUGUGGAAACACUAACAAUGAGUUGUAGAACUUGAUCACUAUGAGGCACCUUAGCAAAAAGUGCAAAAUAAUUAGUUAAGUUGGUAGAAGGUAAUUACCCAAGACUUCUUAUAGGAUAAAGAAGUUAGAUAUACCCUUAUAGGGGAUAUGUUUCAAUAUAGUGAGUUAAUGUCUUAAAAGGAAUGCUCAUUGUUAAAGGGGGCAUCAUUGGGACACUUAAACACUCUAGAACACUAAGAAGUGAUGUUUGGUGUUGUGAGGGCAAUAGAUCCCUUAGGCCCAAGGGAUUAAAUCCCUAGCGAAUGAGGGAUAGGAAGUGCUAUCCAAAUGUCCAAGGUUAUGGAAACAAGAGAAGUCCAUUUACCCGAAUUGGACAAAGCCAAAAUGGGAUUUUGGCAAGGCUAGUGAAGGAACCACUCCCUAGGCUAUUGGGUAGGUUCAUCCCUAAAAAUACUUACUAAGGCAUGGUAGAAAAUGUAAAGCUAUCUUCAUGAGAAUAAUUAAAGGAAAUGUGUGAGGCCCAAAAGUAAGAGUAUAACCAAGAGUGGUUAUGUAAGUUGGGAGUGGGGAAUCAAGUGGGCGCUCAAGCAUGUUGUUAUUGUGAUGCCAUAGAGAGUUUAAAAUAUGGAAUUGUCCAUAUUAAACCAUAUAGUAAUUAGAAAGCUUGCAAAAAGAAAGGCCUUAGCAAAUUAAGGGACAAAGUUCCUUCAAGGUUUCCAAAGACAAUUCUAGGUAACUUAAUAUCUAAAAGGCCAAGUGUAAAUGGUUCAAAGAACGCGUGAAAUUAGAGUGGCACAGCAGAAAUAUGGUCUUAAAGCUUGCCAUAAGGUAAGGCUAUCAAAGUUAAGGAAGUAAUUCCCAAAGUGUUCAAAGAGAGUGCUUUGAACGAAAGUCGAUAGUUAAGGACUUUCACGCUUGUGCAUGAACCAUGUUACAAUGGUUGGAUGACUUGCUAAGUGAAAUUGGCAAGUCAGGGGAACAAAUACCCUAGUUGAAGGUGUUAAAUUCAAAAGGGGUGGCCUAUGGGGCCAAGCAUGGAGGAGUCCAUGCAUAAUCAUAGACAUGUCAAGUGAGAAGACUUAGCAGUAUGGAAGAACUAAGUUCCUAAGUUGUGAUCUGUAAUGCACUUUAAAUAUAAGUUGGUGCACUAGUGUGGGGAGUCAUGCCAAACAUCCUAGGUGAUGCCUUUCGUAGAUGCAUAUACGGAAGUUGAGUUUGAGUCCCGACCUUUUAGUGUUCGAGUGCCAAAUCACUAGGGCGUGGUGAUGGUUUGGAAUAUGAGGACACUCAUAUUUUGGUGGUCAUAGACUCUCAAUGAGGAGAUUAGCUUGGGCACACCGCCAAGCCGAGGAUGCCUUGGAGUCAUGAGGCACGGUUAGAUUGUUUAGAGUGAAAACUUGGUAUAUCUAACUUGAACACUUUUAUGCAAGUGGCACCAAGAACAUAGUGAAUGAGAUGGGGACACCCAACUACGGUUGCUAUAGAUCCUUGGUUGGAAGGGUUGGCUUGGGCACACUGCCAAGUGUGGGGGAUGCCCCCAGGGUCAUAGUUAACAAUUUAAAAGGGUCUGGAAGGUUUAGUACCUAUUGGCAAAUCUGUUAAGGUAUCAAGAUUAGAUCACCAAGUGAUCUUAUGGCUAAACAAAGAUAAAGUCUUUGUGAGGUUAAGGAAGAAGGUCCUUAGUUCAAAGUGUUGACUUGAACUAUUGAUAAUGGUGUGACUUGGUCAAGGUGAUCAAGUGGGAAAGACACCAAAAGGGAAAUCAAUGUGUCAAUGGGAUGGUAUAUUGAGUCCAAGAAAGUAGUCUUUAGGAAAGACCCAUAAGAGGUUUGAAAAGUUGGGCUGUCGAUGGAGCUCGUAACAAAAAAAUGCUAAAGAGAUUUAUUGAGGGUGAGCACCCUAUGGACAUGGCAAAAUGGAGCCUUUGCCAUGGAACUAAAAUGAUACCUCGAGAAUGAAGGUAGUGAUUCUAUGUUACUUGGUGCAACCAUCGAAGGAUAUAAGCAAAAGAUUAGUGGCCAAGUGUGGGCUAUGGAAUUCGUUAGAAAGAAUCCAAAUGGCAACAUUAGACGAAGAAUACUAUACUAACGAAUAUUGCGAAAAGAAGUGUGUUUCCAAGGAUGGAUUAUCAAAUGCUCCAAUUUGGCAAGGAUGAAAGGUCCCAGGGAGGGAGUGGCAAGGUAGCCAAAUGAUAGGACCAUGAACACUUAGCACAACUUAUGAUAAUUGGGAACUUAGUACUAAAGGUGGCAUGAANNNNNNNNNNNNNNNNNNNNNNNNNNNNNNNNNNNNNNNNNNNNNNNNNNNNNNNNNNNNNNNNNNNNNNNNNNNNNNNNNNNNNNNNNNNNNNNNNNNNNNNNNNNNNNNNNNNNNNNNNNNNNNNNNNNNNNNNNNNNNNNNNNNNNNNNNNNNNNNNNNNNNNNNNNNNNNNNNNNNNNNNNNNNNNNNNNNNNNNNNNNNNNNNNNNNNNNNNNNNNNNNNNNNNNNNNNNNNNNNNNNNNNNNNNNNNNNNNNNNNNNNNNNNNNNNNNNNNNNNNNNNNNNNNNNNNNNNNNNNNNNNNNNNNNNNNNNNNNNNNNNNNNNNNNNNNNNNNNNNNNNNNNNNNNNNNNNNNNNNNNNNNNNNNNNNNNNNNNNNNNNNNNNNNNNNNNNNNNNNNNNNNNNNNNNNNNNNNNNNNNNNNNNNNNNNNNNNNNNNNNNNNNNNNNNNNNNNNNNNNNNNNNNNNNNNNNNNNNNNNNNNNNNNNNNNNNNNNNNNNNNNNNNNNNNNNNNNNNNNNNNNNNNNNNNNNNNNNNNNNNNNNNNNNNNNNNNNNNNNNNNNNNNNNNNNNNNNNNNNNNNNNNNNNNNNNNNNNNNNNNNNNNNNNNNNNNNNNNNNNNNNNNNNNNNNNNNNNNNNNNNNNNCAUAUACGGAGGUUGGGUAUGAGUCCCAACCCUCUAGUGCUUGGGUUCGAAUCCCAACGCACUAGGGCGUAGUGAUGGUUUGGAAUAUGAGGACACUCAUUUUUUGGUGGUCAUGGACUCUCAGUAAGAAGACUAGCUUGGGCACACCGCCAAGCCAGGGAUGCCCUGGAGUCGUGAUGCACAGUUAGAUUAAUUAAUGUGGCUUGGCAUAUCUAACUUGAACACUUUGGUGGGAGUGGGACCAAGGACGUGGUGAAUAAGAUGGGGACACUCAGUCUUAGUUGCUAUAGACCCUUGGUUGGAAGGGCUAAUUUGGGUGCACCACCAAGUGUGGGGGAUGCCCCUGGGGUCAUAGUUAACAAGUUAAAGGUCUGAAAAAUUUAGUAUCUAUUGGCAAACCUAUUAAGGUGACCAAGGUGAAAUCACUAGGUGAUCUUAUAGCUAAAUAAGGAUAAAGUCCUUGUUUGGUUAAGGAAUAAAUUUCUAAUUCAAAGUGGUGAUUUGAACUAUUAUGCUUUAUUUCGUUAAAGUGGGACUUUUCAUUAUCCCACUUAUGGUGUGUGGCCAUAUGCUAUUUUUAUAACAACAAUAAAAAAUUGAAGUUUUGACUUUAUAAUUUAUAAAUUAAAAACUUUUCAUAUGAUUUUGUGUUAUAAUAUUGUGAAAUAUAAAAAAAUAAAUUAAAAAACUGAUAGAAAUAUUAAUAAAUAUUAAUUAAGUACUAGGAAAUGGCAUGUGGACACAUGCUAAUUAAUGUCCCAUUUUACUGAAUAAGUCCCACUUUAACGAAAUAAAGCAUUAUUGAUAAUUGUGUAACUUGGUCAAAGUGACCAAGUGGGAAAAACACCAAAAAGGGAAAUCAGUGGUGUCAAUGCGAUGGUAUAGUAAGUCCCAAGAAGUAAUCUCUAGGAAAGACUUAUGAAAGGGUCGCAAAGUUGGGUUAUAGAUAAAGCUUAUAGUAGAGAAUGCUAAAAAGACUUACUAAGGGUGAGCACUCUAUGGACUUGAUAAAGUGGAGCCCUUGCCAUGGAACUGAAAGAAUACCUCAAGGAUGGAGUUAGUGAGCCUAUGUUGCUUGGUGCAACAAUCAACAGAUAGGAGUAAAAAACUAGUGGCCAAGUUUGGGCAAUGGGAUUUAUUAAAAGAAAUCCAAAUGGCAAAGUUAGCCGAGGAACACUAAUGUGUUGGAUGCUAAUGGAUUGUGGGAAAGGAAGUGUGCUUCCAAGGAUGGAUUCCCAAGUGUUCUAAUUUGGUGAAGUGAAAUUUCCAAGGCAGGGAGUAGCAAAGUAGCUAAAUGAUAGAGACAUGAACAACCCUAGCAAAAAUUAUAAUAACUAGAACUUAAUGCUAAAAGAUGGCAAGAAAUAGAAAAGAUGAUGAUGGUGUUUUCAAGUAAAGAAUUUCCUAGUAGGGAAAAGUGGCAUUUGCACAGUAUGUGCAAUGCAAGGUGUCAGAGACAUCUAAGAAAUUGACUUUAAGAAGUCAAAAUUAAAAAUUCUAAAGUGCAAAAGUUAUAUCAAGAGAAACUAAAACUACUCGAGAACGAGUAGUGGGAUUGAGAAAGAGAAGGUGUCUCUAACAAAUUUAACGAGAACUAAACUAAUAAAAGGGAGAGAACUACCUUAGAUGGUUGAAUUAGUCUCUAUGUUGGAGAGACUAUGUUCUUUAGAGGUUGGACAAGGCAUGGUGAGCCUUUCGUGUCAAACCAAUUGAUGAAUAUUGGCUAGGUGCCAAGGAUGGAAAGGCUAAUACAUGCUAGCAUUACUUUAUAAAAUAGUUUAUCAUUUGAUGAGGACAUCGAACUUCGUCUAUGGGUGGUGGAGUUGUGAGAUACAAAUCCCAACACCCCAAAGUGGAGCAUAAAGGGUGCCACAUGGUAGUGGCCAAAGCAAAAGCCAAACAAACAUAACACAUUUUGACUAAAAGCUCCGACUUGAAAAGUCGAGAGCGGGAGUGGAACUCCCAACAAGGAUCUAAGAUGGACCCAAGAUGGAAUUCGAGAUGGAGUCCAAGGUGGACCUGAGAUGGACCCGAGAUAGAGUCCAAGAUGGAGUCCGAGAUGGACCCAAGAUAGAGUCCGAGAUGGAAUCCAAAAUGGAGUUUGAGGUGGACUUGAGAUAGACAUAAGAUGGAGUUCGAGAUAGACCUAAGAUGGAGUCCGAGAUGAAGUCUGAGAUGCACUUGAGAUGGAGUCCGAGAUGGAGUUUGAGAUGGACCUGAGAUGGACCCGAGAUGGAGUCCAAAUGGACCCGAGAUGGACCAAAAUGGAGUCUAAGAUGGACUUGAGAUAGACCCGAGAUGGAGUCUAAGAUGGAGUCCGAAAUGGAGUCUGAAAUGGACCCGAGAUGGAGUCCAAGAUGGACCCGAGAUGGAGUCCAAGAUGAAGUCCGAGAUGGACCCGAGAUGGAGUCCGAGAUGGACCACAGAUGGAGUCCGAGAUGAACCCGAGAUGGAAUUCAAGAUGGACCCGAGAUGGAGUCUGAGAUGGAGUUCAAGAUGGAACUGAGACCGAGACCAAGAUUGAGACCGUCCAAAAGUAUAGUAGGGAGAGUGUGGGGAUUGGACCCAGUUGAGCCAGUUUAGCCAAGAAAUGCUAGUUUGGCCAAUAAAGGCCAGUUUGGCCCAGGAAGGCCAUACCCAAUUGUUGGGUGAUGAGAUGACCACUAGGAAAUCCAAGGCUAAAGUGAAUAUAAACUGACAAGCAAGGUAGAUUGGUGAAGUGUUCAAAAGCCGGCUUUAGUUCCUGUGAGACACAAAAUCCCUAGGCCCCAAAGUGGGGCCGGAAGGGCGCCACAUGGUAGUGGCCGAAGCGAGAGCCAAACGAGCGUAACACGUUUGGACCAAAAGCUCCGACUUGAAAAGUCAAAGAGCGGGAGUGGAACUCCCAACGAAGUGCUCGAGGAAUAAGCAUAAAGCGAGCAAAAGGCGAGGCUCCAAAAGGGGACCCAAAAGGACCAACACAUGACACAUGGGAGUGUCCGAGAUGGACCCGAGUUGGAGCCCGAAAUGGAGUCCGAGAUGGAGUCCGAGAUGGAGUUCGAGGUGGACCCGAGAUGGAGUCCGAGAUGGAGUUCGAGGUGGACCCGAGAUGGACCCGAGUUGGAGUCCGAAGUGGAGUCCGAGAUGGACCUGAGAUGGAGUCCAAGAUGGAGUCCGAGAUGGAGUCCGAGGUGGACCCGAGAUGGACCGAAAUGGAGUCGAGAUGGACCGAGAUGGAGUCCGAGAUGGAGUCCGAGAUGGACCCGAGAUGGACCCGAGAUGGAGUCCGAGAUGGAGUCCGAGAUGGAGUCCGAGAUGGAGUCCGAAGUCGAGACCGAGACCGAGACCGAGACCGAGACCGGGACCGAGACCGAGACCGAGGCCGAGGCCGAGACCGAGCCCGCGCCCGAGUCCAAGUCCAAAUCCGAGUCCGAGUCCGAGUCCGAGUCCGAGUCCGAGUCCGAGUCCGAGUCCGGAGCCUGAGAGGGUGAAAGCCCAAAGCGUUCGUCUCCCAGACCCUGGGGGGUUUGGUGAGCUCCAAAAGUAUAGUAGGGGGAGGACUGCAGUGGAGCCAGUUUGGCCAGGAAAGGCCAGUUUGGCCAAGGAAGGCCGGACCCAGUGUUGGGUGAUGAGCUGCCCACUGGGAAGUCCAAGACUAGAGUGAACACGGACCGACAAGCGGGGUAGCUUGGUGAAGUGUUCAAGAGCCGGCUCUAGUUCCCCUGGGAGAUCGACUGGCCGAUGCUCCUAGUCCAAGUGUGGGUGGCACUACCUACUUGGAUACCUGGUGUGGCUCAAUGGAACCCGCUCUAAGCCCAUGGCUAGAGCACCCAAGGGCAGAAGGCGAGGAGAGUACCCAGGUGGCUCGCGUAAGGCCACGGUGUUCCAAAAUGUUGUCCCAAAGGCCCAGACUGUAGAAAGGAAGAGGAGCAGUCCUCUGGGGUAGUGACCAAGGACACAGUCGUGUGGUGAGCAAGUCCCAAAGGACUGUGGGACUCAGUGGUCGGGCCUGUGGGUCUCGAUCCAGUGGCAGUGUUGGCAAACACGACCAGGGGCAGAAAGGGACUUAGUGGGGAUUGACAGAGGGAUAUUGGGGAAGGCUAUUCCCCUUGUCGGUGGGCAUCCUAAGGAUGCUAAGGAGUGGAUCUGAGAUGACCACUCAUGGAUGGUUUGCCUAGUCUUGGAGAGCCAAGACAGUGAUGCAAGUGGUAUUGGACUACCAGUGUGGCAAAGGUGAUUGGGCAUGGCCUUAGCAUAACGGGCUGCUAUGUCGGUGGUACCUUUGAGUGUUGGUCAUGGGAUCGAACACGUGGAGCACUUGGACCAAGUGCAAAUGUUGAGUGGCAUGGAUGCCAUUCUCGGGGCUAGCAAGUCCCAAGUCCUGGAUUAGACUUAUAGAGGUUGUGAAUGAGACUCCUCCAAGUGGUCAGAGGUGUGGUUAAGUGACUAAAGUAGAAUGGGAAAUUUAGUCGCUUACAAUUUGGUAUCGGAGCUGUUCCUUAGUCUGACUUUUAUUGGUGCUCAAGUAUAUCACCACUAGUGUUGGCAUCGGAAGGUCCGAGGAGUGGGCCUAUCCUUGAGGAGUAGCAAGUCGGGAAGACAUGGCUCUCCAUUACAGUUCAUGUGUGAACUUGUAGAUGAGGUGGUGGAUAGAAAAGGGCCAAUAAUGGAACGACUUUGGGAUCUUGGGAACAGUGCAAGGUUUUCCUCAUUGAGUUGAGGAUGUGAUCCGGAUGAGCAUUUGUCUCAGCAAAUUGGCUAAGGUUGUUGUGGUAAACAACUAAAGUUGGGAUCACGGGAAAGAUAGAGACUCCAAAACAAUAAAGGAGUCACAAGAUUAUCCUCAUAUAGUUGAGGUUGGUACUCAUGAAUGUGAGACCAAAGGUAAUGACCGUGGAAGGUCAAAUACGGAAGAGGACUCAAGUCCUUGAAAUGAUAGCCGGGGCUACCUUUAAUAAAUGCUGGAACAACCCAAGGAGUUGGGGGGUGUACUUAGAGAUGAGUGGGAUUCUCAUCACAUGGACAAGUAGUCCUAAGGGGCAAAAGUUGCCCCCAGAGAACAAAAUCAAGUGUCGGAGUAACACUUGUGAAAAUAGUCCUUUUGAGUAGGACAGGAAUGCAAGAAGUGUAUUCCAGUGAGCUAGUGCUUCACAAGUAGGACCUUACGGGUCUAUGGAUUAACCAAGUCCAAAGCUGCUGGAUGACUCAAGUAGAGUCAACAGAUGGUCCUAAAAGGACUGAUGGAAGCAUUUGGACUGAGGUGUGUUGUACCCCACAACGGAUGGGGGGGGAUCAUAGGAUCCAAGGAUGAGAACAAAGGGUAUCUCAUCGAUGGCAAAAUGUGCCAUGCUAAAGUUAUGGGAAAGGUGUUCCCAGAAGAAAACAACUUGACAUAAAGUUGUGUGUAACCUCUAUAGGGCAAUGCUAACGGAUGGUUGGCAUGAGAAAGAGCAGUGUUGGUCUUGGCAAAGACAUAGACACAAAGGGGAAAUGUCAUAGAGGUAGGCUCGUGGAGCCAAUGGUGUGGAGACACCAAAUGUGCCAAGGUGUGAUACCUUGAGGCUAUGUUGGUGGGUUCAUGAGAACUCCUUGCCAAAGGAAUCCCAAUGGAAAUGGGAAUGGCAUAGCCUAAGCUGCAGAGCAUGCAGUUGGAGUGUGGUGACCCAGAUAAUGAUGGAGGUGUGAAAGCACCAAGCAAUGAGUUGUAGGACUUGACAACUAUGAGGCAACUAAGCAAGAGGUGCAAAAUAACUGGUUAAACGGGUAGAAGGUAGCUACCCAAGACUUCUUAAUAGUAUAAGGAAGUUGGAUAUACCCUUACGGGGGAUAAGUUGCUUGUGUUGCGAUAUAGUAAGUCAAUGUCAUAAAAGGAAAUACUCAUUGUCAAGAAAGCCAUCAUUGGGACACCCGGACACUCUAGAACACCAGAAGGUGGUGUUUGAUGUCGCGAGGGCAAUGGAUAAAGCCCAAGGGACUAAGUCCCUAGCGAAUGAUGGAUAGAAGGUGCUAUCCAAAUGUCCAAGGUUGCGGAGACAGGAGAGGACUGUCUACCCGAGUUGGACAAAGCCAAGAAUGGAAUUUUGGCAAGGUUAGUGAUGGGCAUGUAAAGGCCCAUAAGCAACAAUGUAAUCCCAGUGUGUGGGAUUAUAAGGUGAGCAUACCCGGAUUGAGGAACCACUCACUGGGCUAUUGGGUAGGUUCAUUCCUAAGAAUACUUGCUAAGGCAUGAUAGAAAGUGCAAAGCUAUCCUCCUGGUCUGGAGGAGAAUAACCAAAGGAAACAUAUGGGGCCAAAAGGCAAGUAGUAUUGGGAUGGAACUAAACCAUAGAAAUCGAAGGGCAUAACCAAGGUUGGUUAUGCCAGCUGGGAGUGGAGAAUCAAGUGGGGGCUCGAGGGUGUUGCCGCUAGCAACCAUGAUGCCAUAGAAAGUCUAAAAUAUGGAAUUGUCCAUGCUAGACUAUGUGGCAAUUGGAAAGCUUGCAAAAAGGGAGGCCUUAGCAAGCUAAGGGACAGAGUUCCUUCAAGGUUCUCGAAGACGAUUCUAGGUAGCUUAGUACCUAGAAAGGCCAAGUGUAAAUGGUUCAUAAAACGCGCGAAAUCAGAAUGGCGCAGCAGAAGCGUGGUCUUGAAGCUUGCCAUGAGGCAAGGCUAUCAAGGUUAGGGAAGUAGUUCCCGAGUGUUCAAAGAGAGGGCUUUGAACGAAAGUCGAUAGUUAAGGACUUUCACGCUUGUGCAAGAACCAUGUUACAGUGGUCAGAGGACUUGUCAAGCGAGAUUGGCAAGUCAGGGGAACAAAUACCCUAGUUGAAGGUGAUAACUUCAAAAAGGGUGGGCCAUGGGGCCAAGCAUGGAGGAGUCCAUGCAUGAUCACAAACUUGUCAAGUGAGAGGACUUGGCAGUGCGGGGGAACUAGGUUCCUAAGUUGUGAUCUGUGGCGCGCUUUAAAAAUAGGUUGGUGCACCGGCGUGGGGAGUCACGCCAGGCAUCUAGUGUGAUGCCGUCCGUAGAUGCAUAUACGGAGGUUGGGUUCGAGUCCCGACCCUCUAGUGCUUGGGUUCGAGUCCCAAAUCACUAGGGCGUGGUGAUGGUUUGGAAUAUGAGGACACUCAUAUUUCGGUGGUCAUGGACUCUCAGUGGGGAGACUGGUUUGGGCACACCGCCAAGCGAGGGAUGCCUCGGAGUCGUGAUGCACGGUUAGAUUGCUUAGUGUGAAAGCUCAGCAUAUCUAACUUGAACACUUUGGUGCAAGUGGCACCAAGGUCGUGGUGAGUGAGAUGGGGACACCUAAUCUCAGUUGCUAUGAACCCUUGGCCGUAAGGGCUAGCUUGGGUGCACCGCCAAGUGUGGGGGAUGCCCCCGGGGUUAUAGUCAACAACUUGGAGGUCUAGAAAACCAAGUACCUCUUGGCAACUCUGUUAAGGUGCCAAGGUGAGAUCACUAGGUGAUCUUAUGGCCAGAUAAGGACAAGGUCCUUAGUUGGCUAAGGAAUGAAGUUCCUAGUUCAAAAUGUUGAAAUUGAACUGUUUAAGGUGGUGUGGCUUGGUCGUGAUAACCAAGUGGGAAGAGCACCUAAGGGAAAUAAACUAUGUCCGUGCGAUGGCAUAGUGAGUCCGAGGAAAGUAGUCUCUAUAAAAGACCCAUGGGAGGGUCACAAAGUUGGGCCGUGGAUAGAGCCCAUAGCAGAAGAUGCUAAAGAGACGUACUAGGGGUGAACAUCCUCCGGACUUGGCAAAGAAGAGUCUUUGCUAUGGAACCAAAAGGAGGGAGGUAGAGAUUCGAUGUUGCUUAGUGCAACAAUCAACGGAUAGGAGCAAAAGAUGAGUGGCCAAGAUAGGGCCGUGGAAUCCCUUGGAAGGAAUCCAAGUGACAAAGUUAGGCGAGGAACACUAACGUGUUGGACGCUAACAAGUUGCGGGGAAGGAAGUGUGUUUCCAAGGAGGGAUUCCGAAAUGCUCCGAGUUGGCGAAAGUGGAAGCUCCAAGGGAGGGAGCGGUAAGAUAGCCAAAUGAUAGGGCCAUGAAUAGCCCUAGCACAAAGUAUGAUAACUGGAACUUUGGCACGAAAUAGAAAAGAGGAUGAUGGUGCCCUCGAGUAGAGAACUUCCUAGGAUGGGAAGUGGAGUUGCACAAAAGGUGCAAGGCAAGGUGUCGGAGACACCUAGGAAAUUGACUCCAAGAAGUCAAAAUUCAAAGUUCCAAAGUGCAAAGGUUAUAUCGAUGGAAAUUGAGACUACUCGAGAAGGAGUAGUGGGAUUGACUUAGAGAAGGGUCUCUAAGAGGUUUAGCGAGAACUAAACCAAUAAAAGGAGAGAACCAUUACAUGUGGUCCAAUCAGUCUCUAAGUUGGAGAGACUACGCUCCUUAAAGGAUGGACAAGGCAUGGUGAGCCUUUGAUGUCAAACCAUAGACAAAGAUUAGCUAGGUGCCAAGGAUGGAAAUGGUAACACGUGUGGGUGUUACUUUAUGAAAGGGUUUACCGUUCGAUGAGGACAUCGAACUUUGUCUAUGGGUGGUGGAGUUGUGAGACACAAAAUCCCUAGGCCCCAAAGUGGGGCCGGAAGGGCGCCACAUGGUAGUGGCCGAAGCGAGAGCCAAACGAGCGUAACACGUUUGGACCAAAAGCUCCGACUUGAAAAGUCAAAGAGCGGGAGUGGAACUCCCAACGAAGUGCUCGAGGAACAAGCAUGAAGCGAGCAAAAGGCGAGGCUCCAAAAGGGGACCCAAAAGGACCAACACAUGACACAUGGGAGUGUCCGAGAUGGACCCGAGUUGGAGCCCGAAAUGGAGUCCGAGAUGGAGUCCGAGAUGGAGUUCGAGGUGGACCCGAGAUGGACCCGAGUUGGAGUCCGAAGUGGAGUCCGAGAUGGACCCGAGAUGGAGUCCAAGAUGGAGUCCGAGAUGGAGUCCGAGGUGGACCCGAGAUGGACCCGAAAUGGAGUCCGAGAUGGACCCGAGAUGGAGUCCGAGAUGGAGUCCGAGAUGGACCCGAGAUGGACCCGAGAUGGAGUCCGAGAUGGAGUCCGAGAUGGAGUCCGAAGUCGAGACCGAGACCGAGACCGGGACCGAGACCGAGACCGAGAUCGGGACCGAGACCGAGACCGAGGCCGAGGCCGAGACCGAGCCCGCGCCCGAGUCCGAGUCCAAAUCCGAGUCCGAGUCCGAGUCCGAGUCCGGAGCCUGAGAGGGUGAAAGCCCAAAGCGUUCGUCUCCCAGACCCUGGGGGGUUUGGUGAGCUCCAAAAGUAUAGUAGGGGGAGGACUGCAGUGGAGCCAGUUUGGCCAGGAAAGGCCAAUUUGGCCAAGGAAGGCCGGACCCAGUGUUGGGUGAUGAGCUGCCCACUGGGAAGUCCAAGACUAGAGUGAACACGGACCUACAAGUGGGGUAGCUUGGUGAAGUGUUCAAGAGCCGGCUCUAGUUCCCCCGGGAGAUCGACUGGCCGAUGCUCCUAGUCCAAGUGUGGGUGGCACUACCUACUUGGAUACCUGGUGUGGCUCAACGGAACCCGCUCUAAGCCCAUGGCUAGAGCACCCAAGGGCAGAAGGCGAGGAGAGUACCCAGGUGGCUCGCGUAAGGCCACGGUGUUCCGAAAUGUUGUCCCAAAGGCCCAGACUGUAGAAAGGAAGAGGAGCAGUCCUCUGGGGUAGUGACCAAGGACACAGUCGUGUGGUGAGCAAGUCCCAAAGGACUGUGGGACUCAGUGGUCGGGCCUGUGGGUCUCGAUCCAGUGGCAGUGUUGGCAAACACGACCAGGGGCAGAAAGGGACUUAGUGGGGAUUGACAGAGGGAUAUUGGGGAAGGCUAUUCCCCUUGUCGGUGGGCAUCCUAAGGAUGCUAAGGAGUGGAUCUGAGAUGACCACUCACGGAUGGUUUGCCUAGUCUUGGAGAGCCAAGACUGUGAUGCAAGUGGUAUUGGACUACCAGUGUGGCAAAGGUGAUUGGGCAUGGCCUUAGCAUAACGGGCUGCUAUGUCGGUGGUACCUUUGAGUGUCGGUCAUGGGAUCGAACACGUGGAGCACUUGGACCAAGUGCAAAUGUUGAGUGGCAUGGAUGCCAUUCUCGGGGCUAGCAAGUCCCAAGUCCUGGAUUAGACUUAUAGAGGUUGUGAAUGAGACUCCUCCAAGUGGUCAGAGGUGUGGUUAAGUGACUAAAGUAGAAUGGGAAAUUUAGUCGCUUACAGUGGUGUUAGACUGUCGGUGUGACCAAGGUGAAUGGGUAUGGCUUUAGUGUAACAGGCUGAUAUGUUGGUGGUACCUUGGGGUGUCGACCAUAGGGUUAGACACAUGAAGCACUUGGACCAAGUGCAAAAGUUGAGUGGCGUGGAUGCCAUGCUCAGGGAUACCAAACCCCAAGUCUGGAAUAGGACUUGUGGAAGUUGUGAGUGAGACUCCUCCAAGUGGUUGAAGGUGUGGUUAAGUGACUAAAGUAAAAUGGAAAAUUUAGUCACUUAUAACUUGGACUUCAUAUCAUCCCCUCUUCUUGGAAGGAUGGAAGGCAAUUAAGGUUCCUUAGUUGAAAAAUUAAGAUCUAGAGGAAUAUAAAAAAGAAGCAUUGGUGGAUUUGUAAGUGGUAUCAGUUGUUUUUUAUCUCUUUAUACGAAGUGUUUCAAUUGCUACACAUACAAAAUUUCUAAAGAAUCAGCCUAUUGAAUAUUAUGUCAAACCUUAUAAACUUGCAGUUCAAUUUGGCUCCACACAAAGCAAGAGGCUUUUAAAACAAAUGCUAAAUUGCAUAAUUGACUUAGAUAGCCCUUAAUAAAGAUGACGCAAUUGUUGGAAGGCAUCAUCAUAACUAUCAACAUGUCCAAAUAUGCACUUGAAGGCGGGAGAAUACUCUAAUCCACACAAGUGGCUACGUUGAAACCAUUGAACCACUAUAACAUUAUCCCUUAGAGGGAAACUCCUGCAAAUCCCAAUUAUCAUCUUAAGAAUUAUAGGUGGCAGUCACUGUAAAGUGAUCGAACCAAUGGUACAUAUCAUCCUUAGGAUUCCUAUUAAAGAACUCUGGCUAUUGAAGAACUGCAAUUACAUAGCAUUGAACAACUGCACCAACUACUACUCUAGAGUCAAAGGAGGAGGAGACUGCUACUCUACAAUGAAGAUGAAUGAAAAGGAAAAAGGAAAAAAGAAAAAAUUGAAAAAGUUACAAAGAAAAUGAGAUUUAAACAAUGGAAAAGUAAAUUUAAACUAAAAUCCCAAAUCUAAGCACUCCUUAUGGAUAAUCAAAAUUUCCCCUCAUCUCCACCAAUUUGAGUGCAUGCAAUAGCCCAAAAACUCAAAUUUAUAUAUAGGAGUGAAUAAUCCAAAUUGAAACUAUCAAAAUCCCACUAUCCUAAUAUUAGUAUAUAGUAUUAUAGCUAUACACUUGGACCUCAUAUUUAUAAUUUAUAAACUUUUAAUAUAUUUUAGUUGGUUUGACUAUCUAAUUGUUAAUAUGUUAUAAGAUUAAUAUUGUAUUUAUAAUUUAUAAUAUAUUUAUAAUUAUAAACUUCCAAUUGAUCAACUAGAUUAAUAAAUAAUAAGAAUUACUAUUAAGCAAACCAAGUGUUGCUAUGUGAAGCAAACUAGUUUUAUUAGUUGCCUAAUUAAAAACAUUUACAAUAAAUAUAAGUCAAUUAAAUAUAAAACCUCAAAUCCACUAGUUGUAAUAUAAAACUUUAUGUGUAGGAUCUCUCAAGUUUAGCCCAAGCAUAUAUUAAUCACUAUUAAUUUUUUUAUUUUUUUAUUAGUAACUUAGCUUCCUCAAAGUCGAUUGUUAGCUUUCUUCUUUUGCUAGAGAGCUAGCUUUUGGUGCAUUAACUAGUCUCUUUGACUCUUUUUACUUAUUAUUAAUUUAUGUUUCUUCCUAGUUAAUCAAAAGUUUAAACUUGAGUGUAAGUAGUAAAAUGGGAUAUAGUUGGAACAAUAGGAUUAAUUAUAGUGCUUCAUCUAAAAUUGAGUUAAUGAUAAUUGUAGCAUUGUUGUUAUCUUACUUGUAUAUGGCCCAAGUGUUCAUAGGCUUUAUUUGAAAUAAUGGAAGAAUACUCAUCAAAUACUAAUCCUAAAACUUAGUAUCAACAACUUAUGGCAAUUGUAAAAGUCAAUUUAAGUUUGUUAGUAAUAUUUAAUCAUAACUAUAAAAGAGUUUAUAUGGUAAAGCACUUUGUGCCCCUUUGACAUAUGCAUACCAAAAAGAUAGCAUAUAACCAUUUUAAUCUGAAUAUAGUGAAUUCAUAUACUUUAUGAUCAUCUGUUUGAAAGUUGGAAUAAGUCAUUCCACCAAACCAUGUGAAUGAUAAACAGUAUGAAAGUGUGGUAUAUCCUUUAACUAACAUGAAAUGCCUCAAUCAUAAAUAUAGGACCAUUAUAAUCCACUCCAUUUGAUUGAAGAAGAAGUAUCUAACAAUACUCAUAAAUGCACUAACAAAAGCAUUGACUUUCACCCAAUAAGUCAAGUAGUUAAAAACAAUAAUGAUAUACUUAUUACUAACAAUUGACCAUGGAAAAGACCUAUCAAUCAAACAUUGCAACCUCAAAUAAUAGAAAAUUAUAGUUGACUUCAACCAUCUUUCUGUAAUAUAAAAGAGAAUGUAAUUAUGUACAUAUUGAAUAACAUUAUGUCACAUCUCCCACCUAAGGAAAUAUAUACACAACUUUUUAAUCCUAUGAUGAUAUUUUAUAUAUCCAUCUAGAAUAGAAGAGUUAUAGUAAAUGUGGAGAAAACAUAAAAUAAAAAUUAAAGGCACCAUCAGCCAUAAAUGGUUAUUAAGAUCAGUCUCUAUAAAGUAAAGAAGGUUGUUCUUAAGGCAAUAUUGAGAAUGUAAAUGCUAAAAUAGCAAGUCAUUAACAAAUGAUUCAGGAUUUUCAAACCCAAUUUUAAAGCCUUCAAAUGUACAAUUGAACCUUUUGAGCCUCAUGAACAUUAUUGAGGUAUGGUAAAUUAAACCAAAUAUUAACAUUAAACCAAAUUAUUUUUCACGACAAAACUAAGGUAAGCAAAGAGUUUGAUUUCUCUUGCCAAGAAUGGGCUGUACAAAGAAACAGAAAUGUUCUUCAAACUAACAUGGUGUUGUGGACUUUGCUCUUGCAAGUGUAUUGCCAAUCUAGCAAACUUAAGGAGCCAAGCCAUGAGUUUGAAACUAUGCCGGAACGGACUAAAAUCACUGUAAACUCAAUGCUCACAGCAUGUGCCCGAGCCAGACUCUCGACUUGGUCUUUUGAAACGCCCUUGUGGAAGCGCCUUUGCGAGAAUUCCAGCAAGAAAUGUCAUGGCCUACCUAGACUGCAAUCGCUACUUUUAAAUCCGCCCACACAUAAAACUUUAUUACGUUGACUACUCUACGUAAUUGAUGUAAACCUCUUUUGGAAGCCUUGGAGUGGCCAUGGCUUGCAAUGGGGUCUUGAGCUGCACAGUAGUGAGGAAAACCUCUUCCAUGGACGGCGUUGUUCCAGGCACAAAGCUCCAAUUGAAGCCAUGGAUGAGAUUUGCCACGAGCAGCUCCACUGAUCGCAAUCCCAUGCCCAUUCCCGGACACUUCCUCCGCCCAGAUCCAAACGGGAGGAGCUCAAAGUUUUGGCCUUUGACAUCGAUGGAGCUCCCUAAGAAGCGCUCCGGGUGGAAUUGUGUGGGAUUCUCCCACACUGCCGGAUCCAUUCCAAUCGCCCAUGCAUUCACCAGGAGAGUGGUCCCUUUUGGAACGUGAAAGCCGCCAACGGUUGCUGCUUGCCUUGAGAUGCGCGGUAUGAGUAAGGCUCCCGGAGGAUAGCGUCUGAGUGAUUCCUUGAGGACAAUCUGGAGGUACUCGAGCUUUUGGAGGUCCGACUCUUGCACCAUCCGAGUGCUGCCCACAACCCUGUCGAGCUCCUCGUGGAGCUUGGCCAUGACUCGAGGAUUGUGCAUCACUGCAACCAUGAGCCACUCGCUCACGGUG
rnacentral:lncRNA from 1 species